CAUGCGAAAGGUCCGGCGUAGAGGGUAAGACCCCCGUAGUCGAAACAUCAACGGCUCGUUUGAGAGACACCCAAGUAGCACGGGGCCCGAGAAAUCCCGUGUGAAUCUGGCGGGACCACCCGCUAAGCCUAAAUAUUCCCUGGUGACCGAUAGCGGAUAGUACCGUGAGGGAAUGGUGAAAAGUACCGCGGGAGCGGAGUGAAAUAGUACCUGAAACCGUGUGCCUACAAGCCGUGGGAGCGUCGCGCAUUGAGUUUACUCAAUGCGUCGUGACUGCGUGCCUUUUGAAGAAUGAGCCUGCGAGUUUGCGGUGUGUUGCGAGGUUAACCCGUGUGGGGAAGCCGUAGCGAAAGCGAGUCCGAAYAGGGCGAUUUAGUAGCGCGCUCAAGACCCGAAGCGGAGUGAUCUAGCCAUGGGCAGGUUGAAGCGGCUGUAAGAGGUCGUGGAGGACCGAACCCACCAGGGUUGAAAACCUGGGGGAUGACCUGUGGUUAGGGGUGAAAGGCCAAUCAAACUCCGUGAUAGCUGGUUCUCCCCGAAAUGCAUUUAGGUGCAGCGUCGUGUGUUUCUUGCCGGAGGUAGAGCACUGGAUAGGCGAUGGGCCCUACCGGGUUACUGACCUU
rnacentral:rRNA from 1 species